rnacentral:rRNA from 1 species
CAGUCGCCACGGUAAUACGGAGGGGGCUAGCGUUGUUCGGAAUUACUGGGCGUAAAGCGCACGUAGGCGGCUUGGUAAGUUAGAGGUGAAAGCCCGGAGCUCAACUCCGGAAUUGCCUUUAAGACUGCCGAGCUAGUAGGUGAGAGAGGUAAGUGGAAUUCCGAGUGUAGGGGUGAAAUUCGUAGAUAUUCGGAAGAACACCAGUGGCGAAGGCGGCUUACUGGCUCAUUCUAGACGCUGAGGUGCGAAAGCGUGGGGAGCAAACAGGAUUAGAGACCCCCGUAGUCCCUGUCUCUUAUAC